GACUCGUUAGCUCAGUAGGUCAGAGCACCGAUCUUAAAGUACUCUUGUUCAUCGGAGGGCGGAGGUUCAAGUCCUUCACGAGUCA
rnacentral:tRNA from 1 species